rnacentral:rRNA from 1 species
GAUACCCUAUUAUUAGAAAUGUAAAAUUUUUAACUUAAAUUAUUAUGAGUUAUGAUCUUUAAAAUUAAAGGAUUUGGCGGUAUUUUAGUCUUUUCAGAGGAACCUGUUUUUUAAUCGAUAGUCCACGAUAAUUUCUACUUUAAUUAUAAAUUUAUAUAUCGUCGUUUAUAAAAAUUUUAUUAGAAUUAUAAUUUUUAUAAUGUUAAAUUAGAAAGUAAUUCAGAUCAAGGUGUAGUUGAUAUUAAAGUUAAAAUGGGUUACAUUAAAGUUAUUUUUGGUUAUUAAUUUUAAAAUUUAAUUUAAAUUGGAUUUGAUAGUAAUUUUAUUAUUUAUGUAAAGUGAUUUAGCUCUAAAAUAUGCACACAUCGCC